rnacentral:misc_RNA from 1 species
UGUGUGAGUAUGUGUUUUUAGUAUUCUAUCUCGUUUCGCAUGUUGUUUGUUUCCUUAAACUUGUGAAUUUGUUUUAGCGCAAGAGGGGGAAGAUAUGUGAAUGGUACGAGAUGACGUGAUCGACGUGCGUGUGUGAAUAUGUGCAAAGGAUGAUGCUGAAGGGGCGGUUUUCCAUCCAAAUAGGCACAGUGGUUAUUAGUUGUGUAACUCCAGUUUCUGAUCUAUGGAAAGUGGUGAAACGUCUUCACGAAAUACAAUUUCAUUCGUUUUCCUCCCUUGCAUUGGCACGCUGUGAGUGGUGUCGGCUUCCAGAUGAGUGCAAGAAGAAGAAGAAUUGUAAAGAAUCCGUAAGUGGCCCUAGAAGACGCAGUAAUCGUGUGAGGUGUUGUCGGCAGGAACGAAGAGUCGAAGUUGUUGAAGAAGUCGUGUGAUAUUUGUAUUGUUUCUGGUUAUAUACGACGCUAUUUCACAUAUCUAUGUAUAUAUAUAUAUAUUAUUAUUAUAUAUUAUUAUAUUAAAUCUUCAGUUGGUUUAGUUGAAUGUUCAGUAAUGUAAUUUUCACAAGGUGGUUUUGUAUAUUAGAUGAGCAGUUGUUCGAUAUAAUAAUAUGUGUGUAUAUAUAUAUAUACAUUUCACAAUGUAAUUUUCCAUUAUGUGAAAUAUAUAUAUGCAUAUGUAUAUGUGCGUGUAUUGUUAUUCUCAUUGUUUCUCGGAUCGUUGAUUGGUUGAAUAUUCCAUAAUGUGGAUUUCGUAUAUAAUUCUCUAGGUUCGUAGAAAUGUAAUUCUAUAUAUUUAUUUCUUUGCGUUUUAAUGGUUUAAUAACGUAUACAUACAUAUAUAUAUAU